rnacentral:rRNA from 1 species
UACAGAGGUCUCAACCGUUGUUCGGAUUCAUUGGGCGUAAAGGGUGCGUAGGCGGCGGGGUAAGUCAGGUGUGAAAUCUCGGGGCUCAACCCCGAAACUGCACUUGAUACUGCCUCGCUUGAGUACUGGAGAGGAGACUGGAAUUUACGGUGUAGCAGUGAAAUGCGUAGAUAUCGUAAGGAAGACCAGUGGCGAAGGCGACUACCUGGCCUGUUCUUGACGCUGAGGCGCGAAAGCUAGGGGAGCAAACGGG